rnacentral:misc_RNA from 1 species
GAUGAAGAACGCAGCGAAAUGCGAUACGUAAUGUGAAUUGCAGAAUUCAGUGAAUCAUCGAAUCUUUGAACGCAUAUUGCGCUCUCUGGUAUUCCGGAGAGCAUGCUUGUUUGAGUAUCAGUAAACACCUCAACUCCCUUUUCUUUUUUGAAAUUGGAGCUGGACUUGAGUGAUCCCAACGCUUUCUUCCAAGAAAGUGGCGGGUUGCUUGAAAUGCAGGUGCAGCUGAACUUUUCUCUGAGCUAUAAGCAUAUCUAUUUAGUCUGCCUAAAAAACAGAUUAUUACCUUUGCUGCAGCUAACAUAAAGGAGACUAGUUCUUGUGCUGACUGAUGCAGGAUUCACAGAGACGGCUUCGGCUGACUUUGUAAACUCGAUCUCAAAUCAAGUAAGACUACCCGCUGAACUUAAGCAUAUCAAUAAGCGGAGGA